rnacentral:tRNA from 1 species
GUUCCCGUAGCUCAGUGGAUAGAGCACCGGUCUCCGGAACCGGGUGCGCAGGUUCGAUCCCUGUCGGGAACAC